AGCCAGAUCCAAAGGGACCCACUGCUGCCCAGAGCCGAGCCAGUAAGCGAUGUCUUUUGCACCUCUGUGAGAGCAGAUUGAAGUAAAGGAACAAACAAACAUACAAACAAAAAUCUGCUGCACAACAGCACGUGGUAGCGUGGGGAGUGAGAAGCAGCCCUGCAGACCCCCACGUCAGUUCAGCAGGAGGGCAGGAGGUGCUCCAGGCACAGAACAGCAGUUCCCCUGCGGCCUGUGGAGAGGCCCCUGGAGGAGCAGGCUGCCCCCCUGCAGCCCGUGGGUCCCACAUGGAGCACAUCUCCACGCUGCCCCAUCUCAAUCCUUCUGAUGACGAUCUGGCAGGGAAGAAGACUGGUGUGGCUGAACAGGGAACUUUUGCUGAGUCUCCGGGAGAAAGAGAGUCUGUAUCCAGGGGAAGAAGGGCCAGGCAACUCCGGGAGAGUACAAGCAGUUUGCUAGCGUAUGCAGAGAGAAAAUCAGAAAGGCUACAGUCAAACAUGAGCUCAACCUGGCCGCUAUGGUAAAUGAUAACAAAAAAGGUUUUUCCCGAUAUAUUUACAGUAUGAGGAGGGCCAAGGAGAAUCUCCAUCCUUUAUUGGACUCAGGGGGGAACAGGACUACUGAGCAUAUGGAAAAGGCUGAGGUUCUGAAUGCCUUCUUGACAUCUGUCUUUCCUAGUCAGACCACUUAUCCUUGGCGUACUCAGCCUCCCGACCUGGAAGUCUGGGAUGGCGAGCAGAAGAAACCCUUCGCAGUUCAGGGGGAAACAGUCCAGCUCUCAGGGGGAGACCUGCAGCUCCCCCGGGACUGUCACAAGCCCACGGGGCCAGGUGGAAUCCACCCGAGGGUGCUGAGGGAACCAGUGGAUGUGAUUGCUGAGCCACUUUCCAGCAUCUCUCAGCGGUCGUGGUCAUCCGCAGAAGUCCCAGAUGACCUGAGGCUUGCUAACGUGACGCCCAUCUCUAGGAAGGGUCGUAAGGAGGACCCGGGGAACUACAGGCCUGUCAGCCUGACCUCGGUGCCAGGAAAGGAGGUGGGACAGGUCAUCUUGAAGGCAAUCGCACAGCAUGUGCAAAACAACCGCAGAAUCAGGCCCAGUCAGCACGGCGUCAUGAAAGCCAAGUCCUGCCUGACCAACUCCAUCUCCUUCUCUGACCGGGCCACCUGCCUAGCGGAUGAGGGAAAGGCUGUUGACAUAGUCGACCUAGACUUCAGCAAAGCCUUUGAUGUGCUUUCCCACAGUAUUCUCGUGGAGAAGCUGGCAGCCCGUGGCUUGGACAGGUGCACUCUUUGCUGGGUUGAAAACUGGCUUGCCGUCUGGGCCCAGCGAGUGGUGGUGAAUGGAGUGAGAUCCAGCUGGAGGCUGCUCACCAGUGGUGUUCCCCAGGAGUCGGUGUUGGGGCCCAUCCUCUUUAAUGUCUUUAUUGAUGAUUUGGAUGAGGGAAUGGAGUGCUCCCUCAGCAAGUCGGCAGAUGACACCAAGGUGGGGGAAAGUGUCGAUCUGCCGGGGGGUAGGAAGGCCCUGCAGAGGGA
rnacentral:lncRNA from 1 species